ACGGGUGAGUAAUGCCUAGGAAUCUGCCUGGUAGUGGGGGAUAACGUUCCGAAAGGAACGCUAAUACCGCAUACGUCCUACGGGAGAAAGCAGGGGACCUUCGGGCCUUGCGCUAUCAGAUGAGCCUAGGUCGGAUUAGCUAGUUGGUGAGGUAAUGGCCCACCAAGGCGACGAUCCGUAACUGGUCUGAGAGGAUGAUCAGUCACACUGGAACUGAGACACGGUCCAGACUCCUACGGGAGGCAGCAGUGGGGAAUAUUGGACAAUGGGCGAAAGCCUGAUCCAGCCAUGCCGCGUGUGUGAAGAAGGUCUUCGGAUUGUAAAGCACUUUAAGUUGGGAGGAAGGGCAUUAACCUAAUACGUUAGUGUUUUGACGUUACCGACAGAAUAAGCACCGGCUAACUUCGUGCCAGCAGCCGCGGUAAUACGAAGGGUGCAAGCGUUAAUCGGAAUUACUGGGCGUAAAGCGCGCGUAGGUGGUUCGUUAAGUUGGAUGUGAAA
rnacentral:rRNA from 1 species